UGCCCUCUGGGUUUAUGGUGAUGUCAUCAGAACGCCUUGAUGAAGAGCACGUUUGACCCUGCACUUCACACUUGGUCAUCAUUUAUUUGCUUUAAAUAAAUAAAUAAAUAAUGAAGAAGAAAGAAUCCGAGGAACUCCGUUCUAAACAUCUGUCUGGGCAGAUGUCAAAAUGAGGAGUGUUACUGCUCUAUACUAGCAAAGCGCCUAUGUGGAUCCACUUCCAGAGCAAAUACUGAAGAACAGUGCAAUGUCUUUUACGCCUUAUUCACAUCACGUGGGUAUUUAUAAAGGGGGAAUUGUAGAUAUGCGGCUAUGUGGAAAGAUGCGGAAGAUCUGUUUUUUUGUAAAUGAAUUUUAGCGGACGAGCUCCUUUUGAAGUGAGAUCACAUCGUUUUGAAUUGCUCUGGAUAAAAUCAUUGGCGUGGAGCUGUGUGUUAGUCAGCUGAUUAUAAUCUGGUACAAUAAUCUGCAUUUCUUCAAGAAACGAGAGAUCGACAGUGUCAAGGGCGUUACGAAUCCAGCAGUAAUCUGGGGAAUUGAGUUAGAAUGAGGCAGUGCUUGUAAUGUUAAUAUUCUAGAAACACGUUGCUUAAUUUUUGUUUCCAGAUUGCAUAUAUUAACCCAUUUUAUUAACCUGUCUAUAGCCUUGAUUCAAUAAACCACUCCUAUUCAGUAUAGCUCUAAAGCAUAUGUUUGCCUUUAAACACAUGCUUAAAUCCCAUUGACUUUUUAAUGCUUAAAGUUAAGCACGUGCUUAAAUGUUU